GUGGGAUUACAGGUCGGUGUGCCACCAGGCCUGGCUCUAAUUUUCUUUAUUAUAAAUAACGGUGGGACUAGAUCUAAAUACAAGCAAUUGGCAUUGUGCUUUAAAGUGGGGGAACUUCCCUUCUGCUUCAUCACAGCCAGCAUUUUCUGUGAAAAUCAAUCCCACUUGAGCCUUUGCUUUAUGUUGUGUGAGUUUAUGUUGUUCCAUGUGUUCAUUGCGGUCCUUUCUUUAAAAUAUUUUAACUAUGUAUUUUUAUCUUUAAGUGGUAAAACACAUAUAAAACCUAAGUUUAUCACUUUAGCCAUUUUUACAUCCUCACUAACAAUGCCUAAGUGCACAGCUCUGAAGUGAAGUACAUUUAUAACGUUGUUCAACCAAUUUCCAUCUCACAGAACUGAAAUCCUGGACUCAUUCAACAACUUCCCAUUCUUUCUUCCCACAGUUCCUGGCAACUACCAUUCACUUUCUGUCUAUGAAUUUGACUGCUCUCUACGUUAUAUAAGUCGGACAAUACAGUAUUUGUUCUUUUGUGACUGCAUAUUUAACAGCACACUGUCUUCAAGAUUCAUUCAUGCUUUAAAACUGAUCAGAAUUUUCUUCUUUUUAAAAGUUACCCAAUAUUCCACUGUGUGUAAUAUUCCAUCUCCCCCCACCCCAGUUGGUCUGUUGUUGGACAUUUGUGUUACCCUAACUCUCACAAGUGUGAAUGAUGUUGCGCUGUAUAAAUACAUCUUGAGGCCAUGCUUUCAGUUCUUAGAGGGUAUGUGCAGAAUUCGAUAUGUUGAAUCAUGCAAUAAUCUUACUUUUCAUUUUUGAAGGACUUCAGUGCUCCCCUGUUCUGAAGGGCUUUGAAGAAAUAGCUCUUCUAUGCUCUCCAUGGAUCUUGGACACAACUCCAUGGCUGCUAGACCAUGGGAAAGCCUGUUACGGCUGGAUCUGACAGUUUCAAGGACGUAGCAUUCUUUUUUCCUCCCUGAAGAAUCCAUCUAAUAAAACCUGGAGAGCUAAAAAGAACAGAUACAGCCUUGUGGCCAUUUCAGCUACUCCUCCAGGUAGCCUGCAAAGUUGGUUUCUCGGGACCCCUACCAGCCCAGGGCUGCUACAGCUACUGCCAAAAUGAUGCUCAUCAGAUGGAGUCAGUCUGCUUUUCUGCACUGCCAUGUUAGUGCAGUGAAAACUGGCUAGGGUAGCAAUGUGUGCUGUUAGCAGUGUAGCAUAAUACAAUAUAUUACACUCAUUAUUAUAUCAAUUAAAUAUAGCACAAUCUUUUUUUUUUUUCAAUUUGUAUCUAUUGCUGAACACUCUGAUGCUGCGUCGCUUCUAAGCACACUGGCAACAAACAUGGCAGCAUCCACCUCCUCUGAAUGAUGAGACGGGGAGAGAGCAAUGUCAUGUGACCAUGAGAUGGUGAUUCUCUUUGGAGACUCCACAGAAGCCCACAGAGGCCAUGAGCGAGAAGCACAAGAUGCCCACAGGAAUGAUGCAGGCAGGGCUGAGGCUCAUGUUAACUGAGCACCUUCUGCUGGGCACCCAGCCAGAGCAACACUUCCUGCUUGAAUGACUUCAUCACGUUAUUAACCCAGAUGCAUGAGACCCUUUGUCUCCUUCAGAGUAACCUGAUUUUGCGGUUCCCUGGGUUCUGGAGUUUGUGCCUUUGCCUGUAGGUGAGGUCCUGAGCCUGGAAGACUGCAGGCAUAUUGACAUGGUGGUGUUAUACCGCCACCAUGGGGGCACUGCUGGAAUUUCAAGAGAACCAGCCCAAGACUGUGAGCCUUGAGAGUAAAAAGCCACUACCUGAUGAAAUAAUACAAAAACUAGAAUUGGAAAUGAUCCUGAGAUAUGACUUCAGUGACCAUUGGACUUCCAGCAGUAUGGCUGAGCCCAAGCAGGCCCACCUGUCAGUGGUCUCAAGGACCUCCUGGGCCAUCAACCAGUGCCACCCUCCUACACCUGUCACAGCUAGACUUCAAGGCAAACGUGGGGUGAGCCUGCAAGCUUCCCAAGUUUUCUCACCAGCGGAGAUUCCCAGUAUAAUCCUGAGGCAGCAUCGCUGCCCAACCGUCUAUUUCUCCACCGGUGGAAAGUCUGUGUAACUUUUAUUGUUUUUUGUUUUGUUUUGUUUUGUUUUGUUUUGUUUUGUUUUGUUUUGUUUUGUUUUGUUUUGUUUGAGAUAAGGUUUCUGUGUGCCCUGGCCAUCCUGGAACUGCAGGAUGGCUUGAAGGUGUGUGCCACCCCACCUGGCUCUAUUUAACUUCUAUAUUAUCAAGACAUUAUAAGGGUUAUUUGUGUGAAUAAACCUAGAGUAUUUGAAAA